CUUCCAUCAACAAUGGAAGUGUUAAGUAACAAUGGAAGUAACAAAUUUUCGCCAGUAAAUUACUGGCGAAAAUUUACAUAUUAAUAAGAAAAAAGGACAUUGAGAUCUCGGUGGAUAAAGAGAAUUAAUCUCGAUUUUCGAAUAAACCCGGUUGAAAAGCGUGUAAACAUCUUAAAAUACUGUACAGGAUAAUGUAAUUUAGAAUGAGAGGUUCACAGAAACAUUUAAUGAAAAAAUUGUAAAUAUUGUCGAAUAUCGAGCGUUGGAAAGUACGAUCGAGUUCGUAAGUCGAUAGCUUAUCGGCCGAAGGGUAAUUAGGAAACUCGAAUCGGAAAGAGAUGAUGAGUUUGAACAAGAAACUGAUAGUCGAGAGCUCGAUUCGUACACCAUCGAAGCAGAGUAACAUAAUAACCGAAUUGGAAAACUCUGAACCGGGUUAACUAUGAAAACAGUAAUUAACUGGAAUGUUCUAGCUGUAACCCGUAAAUUCAGUCAAUAAAUGGUUUUGAUAGUUUGGAAAUUAAAAAUUGAAAAUACAAAGUACAAUCUUUUAGAUCCAGAUUGUCCUAUAUUGCACUAGACUAAUUGAAAUUGUACAGUACAUAUAGGCUAUUUAUUUACUGCAUUUUAGACUUUUAUUUUUGAGUUUUAUUGAAAAAUAUUGAGACUAAACUGAGAGAAAAUACUAAUCUAAUCUAAAGAAUCAGGAUUUUCCGAAAGUAAAUAUUCAAUGUUUCUUUACUGGGAUAAGAUUAGUGAAACGAUGUACCGUACGUGGAGUACCAAAUACAUUGCUUUGGCUGUAUGAUCCACGCUUUUAAUUUCUAUUUUUAAUAUCUACAAUAAUUAAUUGUUCGAUUAUAAUGAGUCAUAGUGUACAUAAUAGAGCACUUUUUUUAUUCAAUAUCUUUUCAUCUGUUAGCGAGAGUAAAGAUAUUAUUUUGAUUAAAGACAAUGCUCUGUGUUUCGGAAUCAUUUAAAUAGACUCAUUACUGUAAUGAUUCUUAAUCACCUGGAGAACCAAUUUGUUGCAUAGUUGGAAUUUGUUCGCUAAGUGUGCAAGUUUUGAAUUGAGUUUCAAAUAAAUAGGAAAAAUAGAUAUUUGUUUCUAUUUCUAUACUUUAAUUAUUAUGAAUAUGGGAAUUAAGACAGAAAUAGAUAUCUAUUUCACUUUGUAAAUAAUCAUAUGCAUUUUUAAUCUGAAAUAUAUGUAGGAAGCGAUAUUCUCCCGUAAACAUCACAGAAAAUUUGAGCACAUCCUAUAAAAUUUCCUAUACAAAUUUCAGAUUAAAUUUAACAUAUUGCAAUUAUUGAGUAAUUUGA